rnacentral:rRNA from 1 species
UACAGGGGGGGCAAGCGUUGUUCGGAAUUACUGGGCGUAAAGGGCUCGUAGGUGGCCAACUAAGUCAGACGUGAAAUCCCUCAGCUUAACUGGGGAACUGCGUCUGAUACUGGAUGGCUUGAGUUUGGGAGAGGGAUGCGGAAUUCCAGGUGUAGCGGUGAAAUGCGUAGAUAUCUGGAGGAACACCGGUGGCGAAAGCGACACACUGGGUCUCAACUGACGCUGAGGCACGAAAGCCAGGGGAGCAAACGGG